rnacentral:lncRNA from 1 species
AGAUUAAUUCCCUCUUUCCAAAGUAAAGCCAAACCACCACUUCUUCCAUUAGCAGCAACAAAAUGACACCCACUAUACUUUAUUUUUUUUUCUAACUGUUUCCAUUCAACUAACCUUCACUUUUGUCUCAGAAAUAAAGAUCACCUCCGGGUCAUCUACCCGGAUGAGGUCCUUUAGAUUUUGGACUGCAGAGGAGGAACCCAUUCCCCUGCAAUUCCAAGAUAGUAUCAUAAAAGAGGAAGCUGCUGAUUAGGGACAGUUGCCGUGAACCCUCCAGUAGAAUUGCUACCAGACCCAGCAAAUACACCACCAUCAUUUUCAUCAACCGUCAAAUCUUCCUUUCUCUAGAUAGAAUCAGCCACACUAACACCAACCAGCUUAACCUCCUUGAGUGAUUGUAAAUCAGUAUCGGUAUUCUGCAACUCCUUUUCUAACUUUUCAAUCACACAUUUUGGAUCACCUCCACCCUUACUUCCUUCAGUAUCGAUUUCAACCAG